CGCUCGCUGCUGCGCCACGUUGCUGCGCCACGUUGCCAGCCCCGCAAACUGGCACGAGGCAGAGGUGACCACGACCCUAGUGGCAGAGACCAUAUAACAAUUGAAGUUUUAGAAAUAUCUACGAGACACUGCGUAAAUAGGAUUAAUGAAUAAAGAACAUCCUCCUGUUUCUCAGAGCACGUAAAAUCGGAUUUUGAGACUGUAUCAUUGAUUCACCUCCUCACUCGCCUGAAUAUUGUCAGAAAACCCUCCCGCUGUGUUCCUGCUCCCCGUGGCCACGCACGGACCUCCGUCACUGACCCAGACAUUGCACGGAGGCUGAAGGAGCCCAGCACCUUCCAGCUCACACGACUUCUUUGUCCAGAAGGAAGUAUUGUAUUCUUCACACUUCAAAAUUUUCUGUAUCUUUUGAUUUUUGACAUCUUAAAAAUACUGGGAAGAGAUUGCUUUCCCAGGGCCAGCCAAUCCUGAGAGGCAGGCAGCAAAGGGCUGGGCCAAGAGCUCCCCUUUCAUAAGCAAACUAACCGAUCUGGAGUCCAUCCUCCCAACGACUCCCUCCGUCUGCCAUGUGCACACCCAACCUAUACAUUCGCUGUCCUAAAUCAUCCAAGAGCCAGAAACCUGGAUAAAGGCUCCUGCUUCUGCUCCCGGCCAGAACCUGGAGCUUCUCCUGUGGCCCUGCCUGGCAUGACAUGCCCCCUCCUCUUGGGAAAUACAAGUUACAGAUUCUUCUUUCAGUGGCAUUGACCUCUCUGUGUAAGUGACACAAUCGUCUCUGUACAUUUAAAAAAGAAAAAACCGCGGGUACAGAUGAGACCAGAAUCAGAAGUGAUGCACAGGCAAACAUUUUAUUUUUUCUGGGCUCUUUUGCUUUAGCAUAAUUUUUGGAGACAAGGUGCACGUUAAAAUUGACUAGAAAGGGAUAAAUGUAUGCACAGAUUUGUUAAGAAAAAAAUUAGAGCCUGUUAGCUUUGCCCUUGUCCUUCAGAAAGCACUUAAUUAGCCAUCAGUUUUGUUUUGAGGGUCUUUCCCUAAAACUUGUCUAA